AGCUUUAUUCCUUUAGUGCUUUAAGGACAAAUGUUGUUACGCUAUUAAUUUUGUUAACAUGCUAGUGUAAAAUAAAUAAAAUAAAAUUUUUUACUGAAAAAAUAUUAAUUUAAUUUUAAUAUCAUUUAUAGGAUCUAAGAUAUUUUUUUAAAAAAUAUUAUUUUAUUAUAAUCACACCACCAGGUUAGCAUAACUAACGAUAUUAGAGCAUUUGUCCUUAAAGUACCAACGAAAUAAUGAUCAUGGUUCUAUUUUGUCAAAAAUUGAAUCAAUGGCCCCUAUGUGUCAAAGUGUAAAACAUUAAGGUACUUUUUUAUAUUUCCCCCUUUGUUUUCUAGGCAAACACAAAUAUUGU
rnacentral:misc_RNA from 1 species